rnacentral:rRNA from 1 species
AUUAAUAAAUUAUAAUUUUAAAAUUUAAUUUUUUAUAAGAUAAAAAAAAUAUAAAUAAUUUAAUUAAAAUCAAAGUAUAUAUAAAAAAAAGAUUAAAUUAAUAAUUAAUAUAUGUAAAUAAAAUAUAAUAAUAAUAAUAAAGAAAUUUUUAUUAAUUAUACCUUUUGUAUCAGGGAUAAAUAAAAAAAACAUUAUUUAAAAUAAUAAUCUCGAAAUUAAAUGAGCUAUUUUAAUAUAAAAAUUAAUAUAACAAAAUUAUUUUAAAUAUUAAAAUUGAAAGUGAAAUAUUAUUAGAAUUUAAUGAUAUCUAGUUUUUUAAUAAAUAAAUUUAAUUUAUUCUAAAUAAAUAUUAAAAAGUAAUUUAAAUACUAUUUAAUAAAUAAUUAGAAAAAAAUAAACGGGAUAAUCUGUUUAUUUAAUAUUAAAAAUAAAAUUUUUUUUAAUCAUAAGUAUAAUAUUAAAUUAUUUAUCUUAAGAGAAAAUGUUAUAAUUCAUUAGAAUAUAAAAAUAAUUUAAAUUUUAAAUUUUAAAUAUAAUAUUAAAAAAAAAUUAUUAAUUAAUAAUAAUUUAAUAAAAUAUUUAUACAAGUAAAAUUUUAUAAAUUAAUCUAAAAAUUAAAUAAAUUAAAUUUAAGGAAUUAGGCAAUAUAAUUUUCAAAUGUUUAUCAAAAACAUUGCUUUUAGAUUUAAAUUUAAAGUAAUUUCUGCUCACUGAUUUUAAAAUUAAAGAGCUGCAGUAAAUUAACUGUGCAAAGGUAGCGUAAUAACUUGAUUCUUAAUUAGAAUCUAGAAUGAAAGAAAUAAUGAAAAAUUAACUGUCUCAAAUUUAAAAAUUUAAUCUUAAUUUUCAGUUAAAAUGCUGAAAUUUAAUUGUUAGACGAUAAGACCCUGUAGAAUUUUAUAAAUUAAUUAAAUAUUUUUUAUAAAAAAUUAAUUUUAUUUAUUAAAUUGGGGAAAUUAUUAGAAUAAAAAAACUCUAAUUAAAUAAUUUAACAUAAAUAAAAGAAUUUAUGAAUAUAAUAAAUAUUAUAAUAAAAGAAUAAAUUACCUCAGGGAUAACAGCAUAAUAAAAUUAUAAAGAUCAUAUUUAUAAUUUAGUUUAUGACCUCGAUGUUGAAUUAAGAAUUUUAUUAAGUGCAGAAGCUUAAUUAAAUAGUCUGUUCGACUAAUAUUAUCUUACAUGAUUUGAGUUAAAUUCGACGCAAGUCAGAAUGGUUUCUAUCUUCAAUAUUUAUAAUUAUUUAUUGUACGAAAGGACCUAAAUAAAAUAAUUUUUUAUUUAUUAAUGAAUUAAAAUAA